rnacentral:rRNA from 1 species
UACGGGAGGCAGCAGUGGGGAAUAUUGCACAAUGGGCGAAAGCCUGAUGCAGCUAUGCCGCGUGUAUGAAGAAGGCCUUAGGGUUGUAAAGUACUUUCAUCGGGGAGGAAAAAACAAAACUAAUAAUUUUAUUUCUUGACGUUACCCGAAAAAGAAGCACCGGCUAACUCCGUGCCAGCAGCCGCGGUAAUACGGAGGGUGCUAGCGUUAAUCAGAAUUACUGGGCGUAAAGAGCACGUAGGUGGUUUUUUUAAGUCAGAUGUGAAAUCCCUGGGCUUAACCUGGAACUGCAUUUUGAAACUGAAAUACUAGAGUAUCGUAGAGGGAGGUAGAAUUCUAGGUGUAGCGGUUGAAAUGCGUAGAUAUCUGGAGGAAUACCUGUGGCGAAAGCGGCCUCCUAAACGAAUACUGACACUGAGGUGCGAAAGCGUGGGGAGCAAACGAGGGAUUAGAUACCCGU